CCUAAAUCUGAGAGAAUGCAAGUGCAAAGAAGUCCCUGUGGGGAAGGCAGCAGGGAGCACGAGGCCUGGAAGCAUGAGGCAAAGCCCGGAGAAGCUGGGGAGGGUGGAGGCCAUUACCUCGCUUAAAGUCUCUUUCUGGAGGCAAGUGCAUCUCCCAUGCCUCAUCAGCUGGAUGUCAGCACCAGAUCAUCCCAUCAAGCAUGGAAGCAUCUACAUAACGAGGGCACAGGAUGAGAGGCUCACAUCCGGAAUAUCACAGUUGGGGCUUCAUAAGGCACCCCUGCACCCCUGUUUCCUGGAAUCUACUGAGAGAAAAUGGCAGACCAGCCAAGAUAUUUGACUGAGUUACAGGAGGCAAAGUGGAACAGUGUCUGCGAAUUACCUGGGGACCGCGGGAAGGGUGGACAACCGAUGGAGAAGGCUGGAGCCAAGAAAACACCAUUAUGCAUCGGUGAUCAGGGAAAGCCUUCUCCUCCGUUCCUGUAAGCUACGUGGAUUACCGGUGAGGCCUCACCCAGCAAUCCGGAGCAGGAAGUACACAAAACCCCAGAGGUCGCCUGCACACAACUAACUGAAACCCUCAAUUCAGCGGAUUGGCUUCCACCUUCAAGAGAAAAGCAAAUACUAAGAAAAUCAGUUCCCCCCUGGCACUGACCCUCU
rnacentral:lncRNA from 1 species